rnacentral:rRNA from 1 species
GUGGGGAAUCUUGCGCAAUGGGCGAAAGCCUGACGCAGCCAUGCCGCGUGGAUGAUGAAGGUCUUAGGAUUGUAAAAUCCUUUCAUCGGUGAAGAUAAUGACUGUAGCCGGAGAAGAAGCCCCGGCUAACUUCGUGCCAGCAGCCGCGGUAAUACGAAGGGGGCUAGCGUUGCUCGGAUUUACUGGGCGUAAAGGGCGCGUAGGCGGACAUUUAAGUCAGGGGUGAAAUCCCGGGGCUCAACCUCGGAACUGCCUUUGAUACUGGGUGUCUUGAGUAUGAGAGAGGUGUGUGGAACUCCGAGUGUAGAGGUGAAAUUCGUAGAUAUUCGGAAGAACACCAGUGGCGAAGGCGACACACUGGCUCAUUACUGACGCUGAGGCGCGAAAGCGUGGGGAGCAAACAGGAUUAGAUACCCGUGUAGUCC